rnacentral:rRNA from 1 species
GAUCUUGGUCAGAACGAACGCUGGCGGCGCGUUUUAAGCAUGCAAGUCGAGCGGCAAGGGGCCUUCGGGCCCCUAGAGCGGCGGACGGGUGAGUAACACGUGGACAAUCUGCUCCCCGGCCCGGGAUAGCCCAGGGAAACCUGGAUUAAUACCGGAUGAGACGGGACCCGCGAUGGCGGGACCCGGGAAAGGCGCUGCGGCGCCGCCGGGGGAUGAGUCUGCGUCCCAUUAGCUAGACGGCGGGGUAACGGCCCACCGUGGCGACGAUAGGUAGCCGGCCUGAGAGGGUGGACGGCCACAUUGGAACUGAGACACGGUCCAGACUCCUACGGGAGGCAGCAGCUAAGAAUCUUCCGCAAUGGGCGAAAGCCUGACGGAAGCGACGCCGCGUGAACGAAGAAGGCCGUGAGGUUGUAAAGUUCUUUUCGGGAGGGGAACAACCGUGGCAGGGAAUGGCCGCGGGAUGACGUGAAUCCCGGAAUAAGCCCCGGUUAACUACGUGCCAGCAGCCGC